AAAACGAAACGGCGCUCCAGCAGAUUGAGUGGAAAAAGCUGUGUCUGUUUUCUCUGUUUUUUUACACUAGAACGGUCUUGUAAACAUUGCUGCUUUUAAAAUGACCUACCCCGGGAAGUUUGGGCACACUUCUGUCCUGGGAUCAUCGUUUCUAGGUGGCUUCUGACCUGGGACUUUGAUUUUCUGUAUCUGUACAUUGUCGUUUUAUACACAAUUGCCAAGGUGGAACUGUUGUCAACUUUACUGUGCUUGAAGCUGCAAAGGUGACGUUGCCACCGUUCUACCCUGACGUUUCCUGGAAUAAUGCUGAGGACUGCCUGUGGGGUAGCCGCUGCAUUCAGUUCACUGCAUCUCGGAAACACCUGACCGCUGCCUUGGAUCCAGCGGCCCUCCUGAGAGCUGAGGAAGCAGGAACUCCUAUGUGUCUGCUCCCGGAGCUGCCACAACCCAUUUUCCUGCAACUCGGAACUUGGAAAAAGGAACCCAGGACAUCACUUUGCUUUUGUUUUGGACCUAGUUGGUGAUUAUACUCUCUCUUCCAUGGAGACUACCUCUUGCAUCCUUCCUUCUAUAUGAGAUUUAGGAUAGAAAUUAAAAAGAAAACAUCUUAUUUUGAGUCUUGAUUUGGAGAAAGGUAGUAUUCGGGGAGAAGCAGGCUAUGAUACACACAGAAAAUUCGAGGACAGAGUUACUUAACAAGGACAUUUCUGUCUCUGCAGCAGUCACAGCUUGGAGGAAACCAGUUCGCACUAUUUGAUGAGGAAUUUGGCCACCAAACCACUGAUACUUUCUCAAAGGUUUGGCAGAAAUUGUUUUUCGAGUGACUCACCAAAGUCCCUAGAAGAAUCAGCGUGGAAUUAGAGGACAGUGGCCUACCCUCGUCAAGGACAGGAGUGACACGUGAAGUCUAGUGUCAAUUUAUUCAGAAAAUAUCAAAAUUAUUUUGGGAGCUAUGGGUCAGAGUUGAUAGGCACAAACAAAUAAACAAACAAACAAAAACA
rnacentral:lncRNA from 1 species